rnacentral:rRNA from 1 species
GAGUGCUUUCCGCGCUGGACCGUGUAUAGUCUCUUGAACAGAGCGUCAUAGAGGGUGAGAAUCCCGUCUUUGACACGGACUACCAGUGCUCUGUGAUGCGUUCUCAAAGAGUCGAGUUGUUUGGGAAUGCAGCUCAAAAUGGGUGGUGAACUCCAUCUAAAGCUAAAUAUUGGCGAGAGACCGAUAGCGAACAAGUACCGUGAGGGAAAGAUGAAAAGCACUUUGGAAAGAGAGUAAAAUAGCACGUGAAAUUGUUGAAAGGGAAACGAUUGAAGUCAGUCGUACUUACGAGUAAUCAACUUUUUGGUGCAAUCUUGACGUGGGCAUUUAAGAGUUAAAAUCUUUAUGUACUCAAGUUUGUGCUUUGGGGCGUACUUGCUCGUUUGUAGGUUAACAUCAGUUUCGGUCAUUACAAAAUGACUGGAGGAAUGUAGCUUCGAUUUCGAUUGAAGUGUUAUAGUCUCUGGUAGAUGUAAUGGUCGGGAUUGAGGAUUGCAACGAAUACCCAGUCGGGCUAUCCGUCUGGUCUCUGACCAUCGCUUUGUUGCCGAAAGCUUGC